GGGCGAGUAGCUCAGGGGCAAGAGCGUUCGCCUUACACGCGAAAGGCCGGAGGUUCGAAUCCUCCCUCGCCCA
rnacentral:tRNA from 1 species